AGUGAACGCUGGCGGUAGGCCUAACACAUGCAAGUCGGACGGCAGCACAGUAUGAGCUUGCUCUUACGGGUGGCGAGUGGCGGACGGGUGAGGAAUACAUCGGAAUCUACUUUUUCGUGGGGGAUAACGUAGGGAAACUUACGCUAAUACCGCAUACGACCUACGGGUGAAAGCAGGGGAUCUUCGGACCUUGCGCGAUUGAAUGAGCCGAUGUCGAAUUAGCUAGUUGGCGGGGUAAAGGCCCACCAAGGCGACGAUCCGUAGCUGGUCUGAGAGGAUGAUCAGCCACACUGGAACUGAGACACGGUCCAGACUCCUACGGGAGGCAGCAGUGGGGAAUAUUGGGCAAUGGGCGCAAGCCUGAUCCAGCCAUACCGCGUGGGUGAAGAAGGCCUUCGGGUUGUAAAGCCCUUUUGUUGGGAAAGAAAAGCAGCAGGUUAAUACCCCGCUGUUCUGACGGUACCCAAAGAAUAAGCACCGGCUAACUUCGUG
rnacentral:rRNA from 1 species